rnacentral:rRNA from 1 species
GAUGAACGCUAGCUACAGGCUUAACACAUGCAAGUCGAGGGGUAACGAGAGGAAAGCUUGCUUUCCUUGUCGACGACCGGCGCACGGGUGAGUAACGCGCAUCCAACCUACCCCCAACUAAGGAAUAACCUUGCGAAAGUAAGACUAAUACCUUAUAAUUUCCUCAGAUGUCAUCUGACGGGGAAUAAAGAUUUAUCGGUUGUGGAUGGGGAUGCGUCUGAUUAGCUUGUUGGCGGGGUAACGGCCCACCAAGGCAACGAUCAGUAGGGGUUCUGAGAGGAAGGGCCCCCACAUUGGAACUGAGACACGGUCCAAACUCCUACGGGAGGCAGCAGUGAGGAAUAUUGGUCAAUGGGCGGAAGCCUGAACCAGCCAAGUAGCGUGCAGGAUGACGGCCCUAUGGGUUGUAAACUGCUUUUAUACAGGAAUAAAGUUAGCCACGUGUGGUUAUUUGUAGGUACUGUAUGAAUAAGGACCGGCUAAUUCCGUGCCAGCCGCCGCGGUAA